rnacentral:tRNA from 1 species
UGCUGGCGUGGGCGGCGGGGGCGUGGUUUGCCGUCUGGCCCACGGCCGACUGGGCGUUCGAGCUGCUGUCGGCGC